GGGGCAGAGACACAGGCAGAGGGAGAAGCAGGCUCCAUGCAGGAAGCCCGAUGCAGGACUCGAUCCCAGGACUCCGGGAUCACGUCCUGGGCGGAAGGCAGACCCUCAACCGCUGAGCCACCCAGGUGCCCCUGGGCUUCCAUUCUAAACUCCAAGCUUCCUCAGGAGCCUGAGGUGUUCUUACAUGUCCUGUGACUUCAAAACUUUUUUAACCAUCUUCACACACAGAGCUCAUAUUAAAGAAAUAGCUCUGUGAAGCAUGUGUCUUAAACUUCCAAAACAUUGUCUUUCUAAUCUAGGGACUUUGGAUUGAUUAAUUUCUACGAUGACCUGUGCGGAGAGUUGCCCAAAAGGAUUCUUGCCUUUCAUUUUCAUCGCGAAAAGCCACGUUUUCCGUUCCUGUGCAUGGGCUCGAUGUGGUGAGAUUUGUGGAGGCCUACAGCUGCCAGCAAAGCAUUGAUAAUCACCGCGAAUUUACUCGUGCACUUGUAGAAGAUAACUAGCCUAUUUUUCACUUUGAAAGGAACUCCGCUUUCCUAAUGACCUUGGCUGGCAGCUCUCUGCAGUGCUAAGAAAGUGCUGAUGCCUGCUGAGGCUGGCCAUCCCCUGCUUUCUCUCAUCCGCGCUUAGAAUCAGAGAGACACUGUAAGGGAUCGACCCAGGCCUGCCUGACGGGGCAAGGGAGAUCUCACUGCUCGUACGACCCUGGAGAAUAUUUCAUUAUCCCUCAAGGUCUUCUUAUUAGUGCUGUUUGAAUACCUGGUGUUCAGCAUCGCCCUGCGCACACAAAUACCCAAGGUCUCGGGGAAACUCUGACAUAAAGAACCGAUAAGGUGGGUGAGCCUGCGGGGGCAUUUCCCCAGGUCACUAGGACCUCAGGAUGUGGCUGCCAUUCUGUAGCAAAUCUGCACAGGAAAGCAAACAGCGUGUCACCAUAGGAUGGAUCUUAAAUACCUCAAACUUUGGGCCCUCAGAGAUAGAUGCGGGAGAAGGACCAGAGCCAGGAGUAAGGGGUUUUAGAAGCUCCAGGCCUCUUUGUCCUUUCCGGGGCUCUGGGACAGCUCAGACACCUGUGGAUGAUGCAGUCCUACUUUGCCGGUUCCUACAGCCAGGACUGGAUGGAAUGUGGUUACAUCAGCAGCCGACGGCCGGCAAACCUCCCUCUGACAGGAUGAACCAGUGGGCUCUUCCAUUGAGUGCCUGACAGACUUGAGGAAACAUUUUGGGGGUUGCACAUAACCGUUGAAGUGAGGAAUAUUUGUCUGUCAUCAGCUGAAUGAGAAAAGUUAAAAUCCUGGCCAGAGCUCUGGAGGCCCAGGGAGAUGGCAUCUCUCACGGGUGCGACAUUAGGCCAAUUACAACGCUCAGCAUUUUCCCAACGCUGUAGGUUCAGAGCUCUUUGCGAUCAGUUUGUUUCUUUAGCUGAGUUUCUUAAACACACACCACCCCUUGCGGAGCUCUCUGGGCCUCCACCCAAAAGCUAAAGGAUACAAAGAGGGAGAAGAAAAGAGAGCAGCCGGCUCUACCCAAAGAGAGAAACAAAGCCAAGCAUUUCAGCGUUUCAUUAUUCUCCAAAAGCCUGUCAAUACUUACAAUGGGAGAAAACUGAGAACAGCCAAAAUGUGCAGCAAUACAAAGUUGGCCACAUGUAAUAUGGAAAAAGAAGCAGUCAUUAAAAUGGUGCUGUAGAUUGUAGAAGAAACUUUAAUGACAUGGAAACAUAUAAACAGUAUAUUGUUAAGUGAAGCCAAUUAUGGGACAGCACGGACAAACGUGGUUACAUUUUGUAAAUACGUAUGUCUAGUUCUACGUGAUAUCCAUGUAUAGAAAAAAGACUGAAAGGAUAUAAAAUAAAAUGUCAAUUGCAGUAUUUCUAUGUUGGGCU
rnacentral:lncRNA from 1 species